UGGAGUCAGCUUUUAAGAAGCUUCUCUUAUGGUAAUGUUUUUAAGGAUUUAAAAUUUGUAAUGAGUUUAUUAGUCACAUAGUGGUUGGGUUCUAUAAUCUACUAUGUUAUGUGCUAAUCUGUUGAAAAGUGGUUCUGCAUUAUUGCUGUAAUUUGAUGUUAUUGGACUUAAAUUCAAGAAAAUUAGAAUAUAAAAGUCGUG
rnacentral:lncRNA from 1 species